GCUGUGAUGGCCGAGAGGUUAAGGCGUUGGAUUUAAAAUCCAAUGGGGUCACCCUGCGCAGGUUCGUAAUCCUGUUCACAGCG